UACGUAGGGUGCAAGCGUUAAUCGGAAUUACUGGGCGUAAAGCGUGCGCAGGCGGUUUUGUAAGUUUGUCGUGAAAGCCCCGGGCUCAACCUGGGAAUGGCGAUGAAGACGUGCAAGGCUUGAAUCUGGCAGAGGGGGGUAGAAUUCCACGGUGUAGCAGUGAAAUGCGUAGAGAUGUGGAAGAACACCGGUGGCGAAGGCGGCCUGCGUGGGCAGUUUGAGCUGACACUGAGGCGCGACAGCGUGGG
rnacentral:rRNA from 1 species